CCAAGGGGGAAGCGCUGCACACUUUUAAACAACCAGAUCUGGAACCUCCCUCUCUGUUACUACUCCCUUUGGAUUUAUCCAGUAGUCUUAGACGUCACCAGGGCCAAGCCAUGCAUAUAUAGAUUGAAAUGUUGUUUUCAAAACCUACUCAAGCUAUCUCUUGAUGAACAAGAUUAGUACCAUCUGAUUACAACCCUGAAGAGUCUAGAUUCCUUAUUCUGCAAAAUGGAUUUAUUGUAUCUCAAGGCACUGUGAAGUUUGCAGUAGCAUGUAUAGGCAAAAAGGAAAGUCCAAAGAGAGGAAAAGAAAGCAGGAGAGAUCUGAAAUGACACAAGAAGUGACUCAGAAUGGGAAGAUUGUGCACUCCUUGUUGUCCCCUAAUGCACAUGGAAGUAUGCAACAGAAGCUGUGAAAAUAACCCAGAGAGAAAGAAAAAAAUGAUGUAAAUUUAAACAUAGCAUAUUCUGGAAACAGUAUGCUUAUGGAACAGCCAGAGAGAUUUUCAAAACUUGAUCAUCUAAAUGCAGAGAACAGUUUCAAGGCUCUUUCUCACUUUCUCAUUUGAUUCCUGCAAUUGAAGCCAUCUGCUAUGCUGUGUCCUGUUCUUUGGAUCAGCACAUAUGACAAGGAAGUGAAAGUAGUCUCUGUCCAACAAUCAGUCUAACAGCCUGAGAAGAACUGAAUUCUGUCAAUGACCACGUAAGCUUCGAAGCAGACCUUUCGCUUGUUGAGCCUUCAGAUAGACAGCAGCCCUAGCUGACAUCUUAACUGCAGUCUUGUGACAGGUCCUCAGACAGGAUAAGCCAAAUUAUACCCAGACUGCUGAUCCACAGAAAAUGAGAGGAAACUCCAGGAUUCUAAAAGUAAAGCCCUAUGGAAAUAAAUCAAUAACAUUUCAAAUGAAGAACCAAAAUCGGGAAAUGCAAAUCACAACUCUAACAUCAACAUUAACUUAUAGCCAGACAAUUAUGCAUUUCUUUAGUCAACAACUAGCUGCUAAUUAUUUACUAUGUGUCAAGUCUUAUAAUGCUGAAGUGAAGAAAAGAGAUUUAAAGUCAUGGAUGUGGUUUCCUUUGGACCUUAAAUUCUAGCACAAAAUAUGAUAAACAUUGUAAUCAAUGCUAUCAUGUACAGGUAUGUGGUGUUAUGUGAAUAUAUGGGAAUACCUAAUUCGUAAACUGGGUUUAGAAAAUUCUUGCAGAAGAAAGUGGCAUCCAAACAAAGAACCAAGAACGAAUAAAAAUUAUUAUAGAUAAAGUGAAGCGGGUCUAGUGGAAUGACAAAAUUACUGAGUGUCAAGAGGUGGAAGGACUUGGUGAAUAAUUUGAAAAGGAACCAUCGGAGGAUGAUGGCCACAUUUCUGGCUCCAGCCAUCAGUAUGAACUUAUGGUUGAAGGCAUUCUCAGGGGUUAACAAGAAUUCUGGACAGAAAUAUGGCUAUAAGUAAGUAUUAAUCAGGCUGCACUUUGACCCACUUCCUUGUAACUGAAAGUCACUAGAUCCUGAAUAUUUGUAUCCCCAUUCCCACUGUUCUUAUAGAUAGAAUCUCUGACAUCAGAAUCAUAAGGCUUUUCUUUAAGAAUUGCUUAAAGAUGUUCUUCGGAUCCCCAAUUCCAGUGAAACAGCUGAUGACAACCAUUUUGAAGACCCCCACAGAGGAACAGAAUCAACAUGAGAUGGUUUCUUCCUCUCCCCAUCCUAUGACUUCCCCCUGUACUCUUCCACCAAUUAACAAUCUCCACACUUUGACCCACUCCAAAACCCUUAAAAACCCAGCCCCAAACUACCUGGGGAGAUGGAUUUGAGGUUCCUUCCCAUCUUCUCCUUCGAUGGCCCAACCAUUAAACCUCUUUCUCUGCUGUAACCUCGUGUCUCAGCAUAUUGACUUUUUGCACAUAUUGGGCAAAAAAAACCUAUUAUGGUUACUUGAUUGUGAUAACAUCAAAAGUACACUGAAUUUGGAGUCAGGAGACCUGAAUUCUAAUCCUAGCUUUGACAUUAAUUAGCUACGUGGAUAUAGGUAACUCACUUCACUUCUGAAGGCCUCAAAGCCCUCCAAGGAUUUUGAGAUAGGCAAUUUUUCCCUCAACUUAGCAUUAUCAUUUCAUGGUUUUAUGAUGCAACUUUUACAGCAUCACAAUGUUCCAUUAAUAAAAUUAUAUUGGUUUUUCCAUAUUUUUAAAUCUAAACCUUCAAAUAACUAUUUGUUUUCAUUUUUUUCUGGUGUGUUGCCUUUGUCUUUCCCCUUUAUUCUUUCAUGUUUUGCUUACCUAAGGAAAAGCUUACAAGAAGGAGCUGUGUCAACAGUAGUUGGUAUGGAUCCACACUAACUUUUAUUUGGGGUUUUAACUAAGAGAACUUAAUGUAUGACUUAUUGUAAAAUUAUAAAAAUCAAAUCAAGUUUUAUAACAACAGCCAUAGAAUGGUCUUUUUUUUUGCAAAACCAAAGAUACAUAUACAUAAAUGAAUAUGAUUUAUGUAGAAAAUGAUAUUAAAGGAUACAUACAAAAUUAUUGAGAAGCAAUUAGCCCUGGAAGAGAAAAAUCUGAGCUAGAGGGGUAGUGAGGCUAAAAUUUGUACUAUAAACUGUCCUAUAUUAUUUAAUUUGGUAUAACAAGAGUGUAUUAUUCUUAUAAUAGGAAUAUUACUUUAAACAUUUUUAUUAACUGAUAUUUAUUUUAUGUAUAUAAGGUUUUUUUUCAAUGUGGCUUUGUAAUCUACCACAUACUGGACUUAAAGUUAUAAACAGGAGAGAUGACUGAAGUGGAGGAAGGUUCAUUAGCCUCACACAGGAAAUGCCUUGAAGUAGACCGUGGGUGAAUCUGUUUAAGCUGUGACCCAAGCAGAAAUACUUUCUUCUCAAAGUGAUUUGAAACUAUUAUUCUCAUUGAAUCUAUGAUAAGAAAACUAAUUAUGAUAACAGACAUACGGUUGGAAGAGGAAACACAGGUAGAGCUGUCUUUACAUUAGAGAAAGAACUGAGAGAGCUAGGCAAAAGCCAUCAUUGGGGGUAACAGAACACAGCAGGGGGAAGCAUUCUGCAGAGCAUAUUGGAACAAAGCAAGUCUCUCCAAAAAAAUCUAAAGAAAAUAUUUUCAGAAAGUGCACAAGGCAAAGACUAAUGGCUCCCUGCAGAUAUUCAUAAGGAUAUAAGAAAGAAGAGGCUUUCCAAGAAAAUAUAACAUAUUUCAACAACAACAAAAGACUGGGCUAGAUUUGAGACACACUAAGAGUCAUUAACAACUAGAAGUUCUUAUCAUAACACUAUCUAUACUGUUUACAAUUGUGUCACUUUAUGCUUAUAUAAAGUAUAAAGAGACCACUUUACAGAAUAUGGGUUCAGUCAUUGUCAGGGUAUCAGAGUAUCUUUUGUUUUCCUUUAUUAUAUUGUAAGGACAACAUAAAGUAACCCAAAGAGAAAGGAGAGAACAGCUUAACCUCUCUAAACACUGCACAUUUUGGAAGUCUAAUCCCCUCUCCCUGUCCCAAAUCCUCUCAUUAUAUCUAAGCCCAGUGGAAGUAUGCUGGUCCUCACAGGCUGGCAGUUUUCUCAACCUGCAAUUAGAGUGUUUAGCUCUUUUUGCCAGCUACAGCUUUAGUCAUCAAUUCCAGGAAACCCUGACACCAAUUCACUGAAUAUCUAAACAUACAUUACCUACUUGAUCAUCUAUAUUCCCAGAUGCAAUGAACAUAUUUUCUUGUUAUCUUUUUAAGUCUUCUAAGUUAUAUUGUGCACAAUUUAAAUACACUUGCCUUAGUUUCUGAGACAGCCGUUUCUCGGUUUUCUAUCUUUCCCAGUUAUUUCUUGCCAAUCUCCUUUGUUAGCUCCUCCUCUUCAACAUGAAUUCUAAAUGUGUUUGCUUCUAUAUCAUAUUUUCUGCUCUAAUAUACCCUGUCUAUAUGUUAUUACAUCCUAAGAAAAAAACAAUUCCUAUCAUAGGUCAAACUUAUGCUCUAAAUUCCAAAAUCAUAUACCCAAUGGCUGAUAUAAUAUAACUAUGAAAUGAGCAAAUUCAAUAUCUAAAGGCCACUAAAUUGGAAUGAGACUUCUACCCGAAACAGAUUCCUCCAAGUCUUCCUUAAAUCCAUAAGUUACUUUCACACACACACAAUGCCCCAAAACAAGAAACCCCAAAGCCACAUUUGUUUCCCAAUUUCCUUCAAUCCCACAUUCAUUCCCAGCAAUUUCAGUCAAUUUUACCUCUAAAAUAUGUUUUGAAUUUGUUUACCUCUUCUGCAAUUCUCUAGUGCAUUACUAAUAUAAAUACAAUGCAAGCAACAUAUGUAAUUUUUAACUUGCUAGUAGUCAUAUUAAAAAUAAUUUGUGUAAGUCAA
rnacentral:lncRNA from 1 species